rnacentral:SRP_RNA from 1 species
GCUGGGCAUGGUGGUGUGUGCCUGUAGUCCCAGCUACUUGGGAGGCUGAGGCAGGAGGAUUGCUUGAGCCCAGGAGAUUGAGGCUGCCGUGAGCCAUGAUAGUGCCACUGCACUCCAACUUGGGCAACAGAGCAAGACCCUGUCUCUA